UACUCAAAGCUUGUAAAUCAAAUAAUGUUGAUCUUAGUCCCAAGUUUCAGAUGGUUUCUUCUAGGCUUAGGACCUGCAUAUUUAAAUGGGGCGCUUGUUGCUCAUAUCUUUGCUACUCCAAGCAUCAGGAAGUGCAUUUCAAGCACUAAGGAGGCUGCUAACUGGAGGUGGGGAAAACAGCAUAAUGCAGGAACAAAAUCAUCUGUCUUCUUCGUCUAUUAAAUAUUGCUUUGUCUUAAUUAUUGCUUAUUUAUUAAUAUUAUGUAAAUGACCUUUUUCAUAUUGCUUGCUGCUACUCUGACCAAUUUGGUGAUUAAUUUCUCUUUAAUCUUUUCUUGCCCUGCACUGUCCAUGAAUUCUACAAAGUUGAGCUUCUUGUUGCAACUUAAAAGCUUUGUCACUAUCAGUUCAGAUAUGUUAGGUCUUGGAUUUUAGUAGGGUAAUUAACAAAGUUGUUUGUAAAGAGUUUAUUUGCUCUUGAAGAUUAGCUUUGGAUCUCUAGUUCUGCGGCUUGAGUGGGGCCUUCUGC
rnacentral:misc_RNA from 1 species